UCUUUCUGUAAAUGUUUUAUUCUAGGUACACUUUGUUUAUAGUAUUGUAUCCAAUGGGAGUCUCAGGCGAAUUACUCACAAUAUAUGCUGCAUUACCCUUCGUCAGGCAGUCUGGCUUGUAUUCCAUUAGUUUACCUAACAAGUACAAUUUCUCUUUUGACUACUAUACAUUCUUGAUCCUGGUUAUGAUCUCUUACAUUCCAAUCUUUCCUCAGCUGUAUUUUCAUAUGCUACACCAGAGGCGAAAGGUACUCUCCCACACUGAAGAACAUAGGAAGUCGGAGUAAUUCCAACACUUUUUCAGAACUUUUCAAACAUCAAAAUGCUGCAGUUUUUCAAUACCCAGCACAUUUGUAAAGAAUAUACCAAGAUAAGUCAGAGGUAAAAGACCAAUAAUUUAGCAAGAAUAACCAAUAAAUCUGAUUCCACUGAAAUCCCAAGUGUAAAACAUUGAAAUAUUUUCAGCUUACAGUGCUUCAGAAAACUUUUAAACUUUAUAUGGCUUGGCAGUUAACAUUUUCCUUAAAUGAUGUGCUAAAUGAUUUUCAUUUAUUAUUAAAUGCCUGAAGGUUGCAGUAUGAGUGAUGAAGUUGUACCCACUAAAUGCCUGAAUUGGGAUUAUAUUACCAAUACCUCUUUUUUUUAAGUGCUUGACUGCAUGCCAGAAACUGUAUGUAUUGCUGUGAAAGCAAACAAUAUGCUCUGGAAUAUUUCAGGAUAAUGUCAGAGACUUCAGUGGAGAAUGUAAUCUGGCCAAAGUGUUUGAAUUUAGAAAGGUAGGUUGUGUAUUUAAAAGGUGACGGGAACAAGAACAAGAAACCAAUUACGGGAAAUGAGGGGAAUGUAGUUCUUUAGGAAUUUAAACAGUACAGUGUCUGACCAGAGUGUGUUCUCUGAAGAUCUUGUUUAAGCUGAGUACACAAAUGCAAAUGUUAAUUCAGAGGCUGUAAUGCUUAUCUGAAACAUUAAAACUCCUUUUAAUUACUGCAUCCCUGGAUACUUUUUUACAUAUUAAAAAAAAUUAAAAUUAAUACUAACUAUAAUAUUUCUAGUGAUACCGGUAAUGAAUCUAAACAAGAUAAGGAGGCAAGUCACCAGAAAUGUGUGCAGUUCUCCUUUUUUACUUAAAUUAUCAUCUUUAUUCAGUGUGGAGGACUGUUUGGUCUGCUGUGGAAUUAUCUGGGGGCCUUGUUUCUCAGCCUAACUUUAAGUGACUGGUGUGUAUCACUGUGGCACAUUCAAGCAGGCAGUUCCAGGCACUCAACUUCUGAAGUGUUGCAAAGUCAUAAGCUGCUCUUUUGAAAACAGAUUAUCUCAUGUGUUACAUGCUGCUUUUGCAGACUGGACAAGCCUUUCGUCAUCUGUUCUCUUGGAAGAGUGGAAGAACACAAAGUUAUAUUUUCCUCGGUGCUUCCUCUGGGUUCUCUGGCUUAGCUUUCCCUUGGGAAGAUAAAACAGAGAACAAGAAAGCCUUGUAGUGAGGCAGAAAGCACUAAUGCUGUGUGAGCAGUGCCCCAGGUUAUUAAGAAACUUUUGACGGGGCCAAAAGGGUAGGGAAUGGAAGGGGCAAAGGGAGCAGGGAAAUGAACAGAUACCCAAGCAAAGGCAAAAGGAAAUGUAGGUUAUGGCCUUUGCUCUGUUAGGAAUUGAUAGCCCAAUAGUGUUGUGUGAACCCAGUCAGGGUCACUAGACACCACCACGUGGGCUUCUCUGGCUUCCCUCUUAUAACAUUAUGAUUUGGUGCAUAAAUGAGGUGUGACCUGUACCAUGCUACCUGCGGUACUGGGCUCGUGCUGUGCCUGCCAGCACCUCCCCCUGGACGUGCUCAACACAUCCCAGCUCUCCCCAAACACAGCCAGUAAGUACUGAGGGCACAGGCUUUCUUUUCUAGCACUUGGGAAGAGCUGAAUUUACAAUUAUUUAGGUUUAUGCUUGUCAGAGCUAUUUUUUUUUAAAAACUUUGCAUUUUUCAGUAAUUUUCUUUGAUUCCAUCAAAAGGUCUGAAUUUUCCUAAUUCUCAGUAUAUAGCACAUUUCCUGUUUAGACACAAACAGGGCUAUAAUGAGCAGAGAGAGGGUAAGAAACAAUAAUAAUCUUUGCUUCUAUUUUAAACACUUUGGAGCCUAUUAUUGACUAUUCAAAAAUACAAGAGGCUGUACCAAGGUGGGUGUUGGUCUUUUCUCCCAAGUUACAAGUGAUAGGACAAGAGAAAAGUGCCUCAUGUUGCACCAGGGAAGGUUUAGAUUGGAUAUUAGGAAAAAUUUCUUCAUCAGAAGGGUUGUCAAGCACUGGAACAAGCUGUCCAGGGAAGGGGUGGAGUCACCAUCCCUGGAGGUAUUUAAAAGAAGUGUAGAUGUGGUGCUUAAGGACAUGGUUUAGUGGGACUUUGCAGUGUUAGGUUGGACUUGAUGACCUUGGAGGUCUUUUCCAACCUACACAAUUCUGUGAUUCUGUUACUGUGGCCAUAUACAGCCUCAGACUGGUUUUUGGAUUCGAAGAUGCAACAGUUCAGUUAAUUUCUGCAUUAGGUUAUGUGCUUUGUUGUAGUCCUCUGAGAAAUGUUACAUUGUACUGAACUGUUUGAAAGUGUAAAUUUCCACCUCCGAACAAAACAUCUUUUGCUUAUACUUGCUGUUAAAGAAAGUGAUGUCAGUAUUUCUGAAGGAUGCCAUCUAAAAGAUCUGAUUUCCUGAUGUACUUAGGUUAUUGGAUAUUGUUGAUGCUCAGCUCCUGAACUUUCUUAAUUUGAUUUCUGGGCCCAAAUAAAAGAUUUGGUUUCAAAUUUGUUGGUCCAAUUUGGAGGAAAAAAAAUGGCUGUGUAAUACUCCAAUAUGAAACAAACUGCUGGCUCUGCUGAUGAGAAAGAUAUAGUCCAGAUCUGUGUACAGUACAAUCAGAUAGCACUGGCACCAUGGGAAAGCAGAGCGUGCUGCCGGUAGGGAGGAAAUCUGUACAACCAACACCUUUACUGAAUAAGCUUUAUCACAGAAUAUUUACUUUAAUUGAAAAUAUUAAUUUACCACACAAAUGCAAAUAAACUGCAGACUUUUAAAAGAAAUUGCUUUGCUAGUAAGAAAUUUUAUCAGCAGAGUUGAUUUAUAAGUUAUAUUCUGCAGUAUGAACAUGCAGUUAGUAUGUACAAAAAUUCAGCACUUCAUCUUGCAGUGCUUUUUCAAGUUUAUCUUCCAUGGAAAUCACUGGAAGGUGAUCUUGAGUGAGAACUGUAGUGUGAUGCCCUAAUCCUCUUUGGGUUGUUCCUAUUGACUUUGGUCACACAUGUGGGGUUUUUCCUCAUAAAAUAAGAAAUUUCCCCUCAUCUGUCACUGAGGCGGUAAUGUGAUUUGUGUGAACUCUAUAACAGAAGCUUUGAUUGGUACUGUUUGUCACGAAUGUAGAGGGUUUUAUUUUCCCCACAGACUAUUUACUUAGCUUGCAUGUUCUCUAUCAGCAUAUCCAAACCAGCAGGCGUUCUCUGCUUUGGUGUCUCUGUUGUGUGCACUGGUUCAGUUGACAGCACUUUAUGUUCUACCCUGCUGGCUUUGUCUGAGUUAGUCACUACCCUCUAAAAGACCAAGGCUCUUACCAGUGUAUAGUUUACAACUGGAAUUGUAGAAAUGUUCAUAUUGUAAAUUACAGUAAGAUGCAGGUUACAGUGCAGAUAAAUUGUAAUUUUUCACAAUGUGAUGUUUCUAUUAAAGGCGGGGUUUUUUGUUAUCAUAAUGAAGGUUGACAUUUGUGUGGACCAAUCUGCAGUGUCAUUUGAAAACCUUUUUCAGCUUAAAAUUUUCAUGAGUAUACAUCAAAUCAUGCAUUUUGAUGUAUAUGUCAGUGAAAUUUGGGUGAAAACUAUAUACAGUCAUUUUUGUAUUUUUUUCUAUGUUGUGAAGAAUAAAAUUGUAAUUUUAUAAGUCUGAUUCACUAAGAUUAUUAUAAGUUAAAUGUAUUUUUUGUAUAUUUAGGAAUCUGAUAUUACCUGGAGCUCUGAAAGAUGAAGCAUAGACUUUUUAUGCAUGGUUGAAAGAUAUUUCAACUUGAUAAUGCAGUGAAAUGGUUGGUAUGCUAAAAUACUAGUCUGUGUUGUUGCCUUGUGAAACUGAUUCUGUGCUCUCUGCCUGGACUUGGCCUACUGAUCAGUGAUACUAAUUGCUAUAAUCCAAAUAAAAUCAUUCUGAACAAAA